GACGAACGCUGGCGGCGUGCUUAACACAUGCAAGUCGAGCGGUAAGGCCCUUUCGGGGGUACACGAGCGGCGAACGGGUGAGUAACACGUGGGUGACCUGCCUUUAGCUCUGGGAUAAGCCUGGGAAACUGGGUCUAAUACCGGAUAUGACCCUAUGGCGCAUGUUGUGGGGUGGAAAAGCCUUGUGCGGCUAAGGGGAUGGGCCCGCGGCCUAUCAGCUUGUUGGUGGGGUGAUGGCCUACCAAGGCGACGACGGUAG
rnacentral:rRNA from 1 species